rnacentral:rRNA from 1 species
CACGUAGGGCGCGAGCGUUGUCCGGAAUUAUUGGGCGUAAAGAGCUCGUAGGCGGCCUGUUGCGUCCGCUGUGAAAGCCCGGGGCUUAACCCCGGGUCGGCAGUGGAUACGGGCAGGCUAGAGGUAGGUAGGGGAGAAUGGAAUUCCCGGUGUAGCGGUGAAAUGCGCAGAUAUCGGGAGGAACACCGGUGGCGAAGGCGGUUCUCUGGGCCUUACCUGACGCUGAGGCAGC